CAGCAGCCACGGUAAUACAGAGGGUGCGAGCGUUAAUCGGAUUUACUGGGCGUAAAGCGUGCGUAGGCGGCUUUUUAAGUCGGAUGUGAAAUCCCUGAGCUUAACUUAGGAAUUGCAUUUGAUACUGGGAAGCUAGAGUAUGGGAGAGGAUGGUAGAAUUCCAGGUGUAGCGGUGAAAUGCGUAGAGAUCUGGAGGAAUACCGAUGGCGAAGGCAGCCAUCUGGCCUAAUACUGACGCUGAGGUACGAAAGCAUGGGGAGCAAACAGGAUUAGAUACCCCUGUAGUCCCUGUCUCUUAUAC
rnacentral:rRNA from 1 species